GCUGGAUAAGUUCACCAGGACGAACACUCGAUUCGUACUCGAGAGGAGGGGGUUCGACUCCCCCAUCCAGCUC
rnacentral:tRNA from 1 species